rnacentral:rRNA from 1 species
GAUGAACGCUAGCGGCAGGCUUAAUACAUGCAAGUCGAGGGGCAGCACGGUUAGCAAUAACUGGUGGCGACCGGCGCACGGGUGCGUAACACGUAUACAAUCUACCUUAAACAGGGGGAUAGCCUUUCGAAAGAGAGAUUAAUACCCCGUAAUAAAUUGAACGGCAUCGUUUGAUUUUGAAAGCUCCGGCGGUUUGAGAUGAGUAUGCGUCUGAUUAGCUAGUUGGUGAGGUAACGGCUCACCAAGGCGACGAUCAGUAGGGGAUCUGAGAGGACUAACCCCCACACUGGUACUGAGACACGGACCAGACUCCUACGGGAGGCAGCAGUAAGGAAUAUUGGUCAAUGGAGGCAACUCUGAACCAGCCAUGCCGCGUGCAGGAUGACGGCCCUAUGGGUUGUAAACUGCUUUUAUACAAGAGAAAACCCUGGUACGUGUACCAGGUUGAUAGUAUUGUAAGAUAAGCAUCGGCUAGCUUCGUGCCAGCAGCCGCGGUAA